CUGCACAAGGAUGACACGCAAGUUCGUGAUGCAUUCCAUAUUUUU
rnacentral:snRNA from 1 species